UACGUAGGGGGCAAGCGUUGUCCGGAUUUAUUGGGCGUAAAGAGCUCGUAGGCGGCUCAGAAAGUCGGGUGUGAAACCUCCAGGCUCAACCUGGAGACGCCACCUGAUACUGCUGUGGCUAGAGUCCGGUAGGGGAACGCGGAAUACCCGGUGUAGCGGUGAAAUGCUUAGAUAUCGGGUGGAACACCAGUGGCGAAGGCGGUGUUCUGGGCCGGAACUGACGCUGAGGAGCGAAAGCGUGGGUAGCAAACAGG
rnacentral:rRNA from 1 species